AGCUUUGCGCAGUGGCAGUAUCGUAGCCAAUGAGGUUUAUCCGAGGCGUGAUUAUUGCUAAUAGAUGUCAAAUAUCUAUAUCAAAUAUAUCAAAUAUCAAAUAUAUAUCAAAUAUCUAUAUCAAAUAUAUAU
rnacentral:snRNA from 1 species